GGAGCGCGCGGCUGCCGGGGGCGCUAGGGUAGGGAUGGCCGCAGCGUGGAGGCGGCGGAGGGACGCACCCCGCUGGUGGGAGUCCCCGGAGGGGAGCCGCCGCGGUCCCCGAGUCUCUGAGACGCUUCCCCUCCCUCCCGAGGCUCACUCCUCUGUUGGGACGCAAAGCUUCGGGUAACGAAGCGACGUCGUUCCGGAGAGGCAGACGAGCUGGAAGGGAAAGAAGAGAAUAAUGGGCCAAAGCCCAUUGGACAAUCCCAGAGGGCUUCUCCAAGGAGGCGACUUUGGAUGAAACCUGAGUGUUGAGACGGAGAUGGCCUGGAAAGGUCCCCAGGAAGGGUGUUCCGGAAGGAACAGCAAAUGCGAAGGCCCUACCUGGAGAGGUUGACAAGCUAGAGGGACUCAAGCCUAGAAAAGAGCUUGGACUUAGAUAUUAAUCAAAACCUCAAGAUUCCUCCUGACGUCCGUGGGAGUGAGCAACUACCACAAGACACGAAACACUGAGAAUGGUACCCGCACCAUUAGACGAUUGGAGAAGCAGACGGAAAUCCUUCCAGUCAGUAACUAUGGAUCAUGGGCCUACCGUAUACUAGGCAUGAUGCAGA